CAGUUAAGCGUGCUUGGGUGAGAGUAGUACUAGGAUGGGUGACCUCCUGGGAAGUCCUCGUGUUGCACCCC
rfam:Gossypium arboreum cultivar AKA8401 contig_95183_1, whole genome shotgun sequence.